UUGUAUAAUGGGUCAGUGACUUAAUUUAUUAAGCAAGCUUAAGCCAUCUAGGUGUAGGCGCAGCGAAAGCAAGUCUUAAUAGGGCGAUUAGUUUAAUGAAUUAGACCCGAAAACGAAUGAGCUUACCAUGAGCAGGUUGAAAGUUGGGUAACACCAACCGGAGGACCGAACCAGUUGACGUUGAAAAGUCUUUGGAUGACUUGUGGUAAGGGGUGAAAGGCCAACCAAAUUCGUAGAUAGCUGGUUUUCCGCGAAAACUAUUUAGGUAGUGCGUUGAAUAAACAUAUGUUUGGAGGUAGAGCACUAAAUGGGCUAGGGGAGAGAAAUCUUUACCAAACCUAAUAAAACUCCGAAUGCCAAACAUAAUUCCUCAACAGACAGACUGUGGGUGCUAAGGUCCAUGGUCGAGAGGGGAACAGCCCAGAUCACCAGAUAAGGUCCCUAAAUUAUGAUUAAGUGUGAAAGGAUGUGGAGAUUCCUUAACAGCCGGGAGGUUGGCUUAGAAGCAGCCAUCCUUUAAAGAUAGCGUAACAGCUCACCGGUCUAAUAGAGUUUCUGCGCCUAAGAUGUAACGGGGCUCAAAUCAUGUACCGAAUCUGUGGGUGUAUAAAGUUUUCGAAUUUUAUACGCGGUAGCGGAACGUUCUGUAAGCCUGCAAAGGUGUACCCGCGAGGGACACUGGAGGUAUCAGAAGUGCGAAUGCUGACAUAAGUAACGAUUAACAGAGUGAAAAACUCUGUCGCCGAAAAUCCAAGGUUUCCUGCGCAAGGUUAAUCCGCGCAGGGUUAGUCGGCCCCUAAGACGAGGGCGAAAGCCGUAGUUGAUGGGAACAAGGUUAAUAUUCCUUGACCAGAUGAGAGUGACGGAUUUCAUAAAUUGUAAGUUCUUAAUGGAUUGAACUUGCCGUGAAGAGGUCCCAGGAAAUAACCUCAUCAUAGACCGUACCCUAAACCGACACAGGUGGAUUAUUAGAGUAUAAUUAGGCGCUUGAGAGAAUGAUGUUGAAGGAACUCGGCAAAAUGCCUCUAUAACUUCGGAAGAAAGAGGACCUUUUUUAAGGCAACUUGAUUAAGGUGGCACAAGCCAGGGAGAAGCGACUGUUUAUCAAAAACACAGGACUCUGCUAACACGUAAGUGGAUGUAUAGGGUCUGACGCCUGCCCGGUGCUGGAAGGUUAAUGCGAUAGGUGCAAGCUUAUUUCUGAAGCCCCAGUGAACGGCGGCCGUAACUAUAACGGUCCUAAGGUAGCGAAAUUCCUUGUCGGGUAAGUUCCGACCUGCAUGAAUGGCGUAACGAUUUCUCCGCUGUCUCCAACAUCAACUCAGUGAAAUUGAAUUCUCCGUGAAGAUGCGGAG
rnacentral:rRNA from 1 species